UGGGGUGUGGCUCAGUGGUAGAGCACCUGCCUAGAAUCCCCCAGUGAGGGGCUGAGAAUGUGCCUCAGUAGUAGAGCCCUUGUCUAGCAAGGCCUUGGGUUUGAUUCCCAGCAGCACAA
rnacentral:tRNA from 1 species